AAUACAUCAGCGGCAGACGGGUGAGUAACACGUGGGAACGUACCUUUUGGUUCGGAACAACACAGGGAAACUUGUGCUAAUACCGGAUAAGCCCUUACGGGGAAAGAUUUAUCGCCGAAAGAUCGGCCCGCGUCUGAUUAGCUAGUUGGUGAGGUAAUGGCUCACCAAGGCGACGAUCAGUAGCUGGUCUGAGAGGAUGAUCAGCCACAUUGGGACUGAGACACGGCCCAAACUCCUACGGGAGGCAGCAGUGGGGAAUAUUGGACAAUGGGCGCAAGCCUGAUCCAGCCAUGCCGCGUGAGUGAUGAAGGCCCUAGGGUUGUAAAGCUCUUUUGUGCGGGAAGAUAAUGACGGUACCGCAAGAAUAAGCCCCGGCUAACUUCGUGCCAGCAGCCGCGGUAAUACGAAGGGGGCUAGCGUUGCUCGGAAUCACUGGGCGUAAAGGGUGCG
rnacentral:rRNA from 1 species